GACGAACGCUGGCGGCGUGCCUAACACAUGCAAGUCGAACGAAGCAUUUGAUUGGAUCUCUUCGGAGUGAAGCCGAGGACAGUGGCGGACGGGUGAGUAACGCGUGAGGAACCUGCCUUUCAGAGGGGGACAACAGUUGAAACGACUGCUAAUACCGCAUGAUGCAUAGGUAUCGCAUGGUACUUAUGCCAAAGAUUUAUCGCUGAAAGAUGGCCUCGCGUCUGAUUAGCUAGUUGGUGAGGUAACGGCCCACCAAGGCGACGAUCAGUAGCCGGACUGAGAGGUUGACCGGCCACAUUGGGACUGAGAUACGGCCCAGACUCCUACGGGAGGCAGCAGUGGGGAAUAUUGGGCAAUGGGCGCAAGCCUGACCCAGCAACGCCGCGUGAAGGAAGAAGGCUUUCGGGUUGUAAACUUCUUUUGUCAGGGAAGAGUAGAAGACGGUACCUGACGAAUAAGCCACGGCUAACUACGUGCCAGCCGCCGCUGUAAGAC
rnacentral:rRNA from 1 species